rnacentral:rRNA from 1 species
GGAUCCAGACUUUGAUUAUGGCUCAGGAUGAACGCUAGCUACAGGCUUAACACAUGCAAGUCGAGGGGAAACGACAUCGAAAGCUUGCUUUUGAUGGGCGUCGACCGGCGCACGGGUGAGCAACGCGUAUCCAACCUGCCCACCACUUGGGGAUAACCUUGCGAAAGUAAGACUAAUACCCAAUGACGUCUCUAGAAGACAUCUGAAAGAGAUUAAAGAUUUAUCGGUGAUGGAUGGGGAUGCGUCUGAUUAGCUUGUUGGCGGGGUAACGGCCCACCAAGGCUACGAUCAGUAGGGGUUCUGAGAGGAAGGUCCCCCACAUUGGAACUGAGACACGGUCCAAACUCCUACGGGAGGCAGCAGUGAGGAAUAUUGGUCAAUGGACGAGAGUCUGAACCAGCCAAGUAGCGUGCAGGAUGACGGCCCUAUGGGUUGUAAACUGCUUUUAUAAGGGAAUAAAGUGAGUCUCGUGAGACUUUUUGCAUGUACCUUAUGAAUAAGGACCGGCUAAUUCCGUGCCAGCAGCCGCGGUAAUACGGAAGGUCCGGGCGUUAUCCGGAUUUAUUGGGUUUAAAGGGAGCGUAGGCCGGAGAUUAAGCGUGUUGUGAAAUGUAGAUGCUCAACAUCUGCACUGCAGCGCGAACUGGUUUCCUUGAGUACGCACAAAGUGGGCGGAAUUCGUGGUGUAGCGGUGAAAUGCUUAGAUAUCACGAAGAACUCCGAUUGCGAAGGCAGCUCAUUGGAGCGCAACUGACGCUGAAGCUCGAAAGUGCGGGUAUCGAACAGGAUUAGAUACCCUGGUAGUCCGCACGGUAAACGAUGGAUGCCCGCUGUUGGUCUGAAUAGGUCAGCGGCCAAGCGAAAGCAUUAAGCAUCCCACCUGGGGAGUACGCCGGCAACGGUGCAACUCAAAGGAAUUGACGG